UCCGAUUAUUGUCUGUGGCAAGUAUAGCAGCAACUAGUUUGUCUUGUUUACUUUAGCGGGAAUAAACAUUCAAGCUAAAACUUUUCUUAUCAAUAAUCCAUUUGCAUUUGGCGUCAAUGCAAUAGGUACGAGUAUGUCUACAAAUCGUUUGUAAGUCGACCUAUUCACCUAAGUGUAUGGAAAACCUAGCAAAACUCUAUAGGUGAAAAAAGGGAGCAUUGCCACAUAUAAUAUAAGCAAAGAUUGGAAAUUGUGGUUAUUAUUGCUCUUGCUAUGUCGAGUAGCCAUUCAAUGGUUUUAACUGAAACCCAGUUAAAGGCGUUUAAAGAAUUUCUGGGACACGCGGGCGAUUAUUGUAUAUCCUUUUCAUCGGGAGUAGACGAGGGUGAAAAUUUCGGUGGAAUUAUAAUAAGGGCCGAUGUAACGUGGAAAGAGGGAAAUAAGGAAUGCACCUCUCAUUACAUUAUAAAGUGUACUCCACCAAGUGAAUCUUUACAAAGGCUAAUACCCGUGCAAACCGCCUUCAUAAUUGAAACAUACGUGUAUUCGAGAGUACUUAAGGAGUUCAAUAUAAUUCAACGGGAAUAUAACCUCAGAAAACCGUUGGAUUGUUUCCCAGUUUACUAUACGUCUUUGCCGACCACAAAAGAAAAAAUGAUAGUAUUGCAAAAUGUAAAGGAACUAGGAUAUAGGCAUUACGAUCGAUUUCAACCUCUAGACUAUCCACACCUGCUAUGUGUAGUAAAGGAGUAUGCACGUGUGCACGCUUUGACCUAUGCGAUACGGCAUUACAAACCAGUUCUAUUCGAAGAAUUCGAAGCAAAUACUGAAAACCACGUCUUUCACGACUUCAAAUACGAAGGCAUUAUGAUGGUUACUCAACAUCGAAUGGAUCACGCGUUAAAGGCCCUGGAGUCGAUUGAGGAUACCACUUUGUAUAAAAAAUUCGCAUGCUUUGCUCAAAAUGUACGUUCUGUUUUUGAAAAGCUGCUCAACUCCAAAAAGAAGCACCGAGUGAUUAGUCACAUCGACUGUGGUAUUCCAAAUUUUUUGUUUAAGUAUGAUCCUAGCUCUGGUGAACUUUUGAGUACCUGCAUAAUCGACUGGCAACAAGCUCGUUUGGAGUCCCCAGCAGUAGAUUUGGUUACGUUUAUAUUUUCGGCUGCCGACAAAGCUACCCGAGAACGUUACGAUGAGUUAAUAAUGGAGUAUCACAAGACGUUUUGUUCAUUUCUGGGAGAAUUUGGGUGUGAUGGAGAAAAGUUACUUCCGUUUGAAGACUUGCAAGAAGAAUUAAUGGAAUUCGGCUUACUUGGUCUUAUAAUAGGAAUCUCGUUGAUUUACGUUUAUGCAACGGUCGACCAAAAGGUUCCGGAUAUAUUCCAGACCGAGUGCCCUAAGGAAGAAUUUGGAUUUUUGUACGAUUUGCAAGACAGUUCCAAAUUUGAUAAAAGGGUCCGGGAAGCAAUUUGUGAUUUUAAUCGUUUCGGUUAUAAUUUUGAGUAAAAUUUAAGUUGCAAAGUACCAGCAUUAGUUCACAAACAACGUUGUCAUUGGAUCCCAUAUCUCAAGGGGGUCUUUCAGAAUUUUUUCAUGUAAACAUUGUAAUUUAGUCCAAAUUUACAACUUCAUGUUGUUGGUAAUAAAGGUUGCCCCUACCUUCCUAAGAUUUCGGUAAAAUUUUAUUAUGAGCGUUCUAAUAAGGUGUAUUUCUGGCACAACGUUCAAAUAAAAAACGUGCCAGUGCCAAAGGGGAGCUUCUAUUUAAAUAAGUAAUGUGUAAAAUUCCUCAUAUGUUAACAAAUUGCCCUGUAAUAUACGUAUGUAAGUAUUGCUUACACGUCGGGUGGCGGGUCAAGUAUGAAAUUGCCAGUUAAUUUGAUGGUGGACCUGGAGCAAAUAGUUUCGAGAAUCAUUUGAUUUUAAGUAUUUCAUGUAAUUUAAUUAAUUCAUUAUUUGAAUAACCUCAAAAACCUAUUGCUAUUGAAGUCAGGACCACUUCUUCCAGUUCUGCCUGUUGCCGUGUUUGAAAAUCGACCGGAAGAGAGAUAUUCGAGAUGGCGUCCAAUAUGGUGGUUUUUGUACCACUCUGGCAAUUCUCCGUUUAAAAUACCAGAAUGUUACAGUUCAAGGGCCUAGACGAAGGUUUUUUGGGUCAAGGUAUACGAUGGAAGUGUUAAAAAUGAGACCGGAUGUGAAAAACCGCUAUUUGGGCCAAAAUGGUGCCAAUAAUUCAGAUUUUUCUACCUUUUUUCAGAAUGCUGUGAAUUUUAGGAUUCUGAUAUGGGGACAUACGUUUUUGGGGCCAAGUGACACAAUAGUAAGGAAAAAAAUGAGAUCUGAUAUGGUAGAAACGUGAUUUGUCAUAUAUCGGCGGAAAUGGCGCCAAAUAUUUACUUUUCCACAAAUUGAGAUGUUUCCGAACGAAACAUAAACUUGUUUUACUAUAAACAUGUCAAUGUUCCGGAAGCAGGAACCACUUCCCAAAGGGAAGAGACUUUUCACGGGAGCACCAUCUCAGGCCAUCACCUGUCAAACUGUACAAAGUUGGUGGAAAACUGAAACGACAGUUCGAAGGGCCACGUCGUAUCUUUGGGGAUGCCUUUAUAAAUAAAACAUGUUGUAAAAUGAGUAUGAUCGAUCGAUGGGCUUGAUUAGUUGAUUUCUGGUAUCCAACCAUUAACAUAUUAAAAACACACACCUAAAAAUUUAUGUUUAGAUAACAAAUACAAAUAUCUAGAAUGAUAAGCAGUAGCUUUAUUUGUACUAAAUACUGAAGGGCGCAGUACUAAAGUAGGCCUCCGCUUAUUGUCUGUGCUAAACAUAGCAGCAACUAGUUUGUGUUGUCUACAUACUAUGGCAUAAGUAAACAUUCAGAUUAAUACUUUUCUUAUCAAUCAUUCGACAUACCUAAGUGAUAAAGUAUAACUUCCAAGUAUGCAAAAACUGGCAAAACUCUGGUGAAAAAAGGAAGCAUUGCCACAUAUGAUAUAAGUGAAGAUUGAACAUUGUGGCUGUUGUUGUUCAACUAUGUCCAGUAGUAGCCCUACAAUGGUUUUAACCGAAAACCAGUUAAAGGCGCUUAAAGAAUUUCUGGGACAAGCGGGCGAUUAUUGUAUAUCCUUUUCAUCGGGAGUAGACGAGGGUGAAAAUUUCUGUGGAAUUAUAAUAAAGACCGAUGUAAAGUGGAAGGAGGGAAAUAAGGAAUCAACCUGUCAUUACAUUAUAAAGUGUACUCCACCAAGUGAAUCUUAACAAAGGCUAAUACCCGUGCAAACCGCCUUCAUAAUUGAAACAUACGUGUAUUCGAGAGUACUUAAGGAGUUCAAUAUAAUUCAACGGGAAUAUAACAUCAGAAAACCGUUGGAUUGUUUCCCAGUUUACUAUACGUCUUUAUCC